GACGAACACUGGCGGCGUGCCUAAUACAUGCAAGUCGAACGCACAGUUUAUACCGUAGCUUGCUACACCAUAGACUGUGAGUUGCGAACGGGUGAGUAACGCGUAGGUAACCUGCCUGGUAGCGGGGGAUAACUAUUGGAAACGAUAGCUAAUACCGCAUAAUAUUUAUUAUUGCAUGAUAAUUGAUUGAAAGAUGCUAUUGCAUCACUACCAGAUGGACCUGCGUUGUAUUAGCUAGUAGGUGAGGUAAUGGCUCACCUAGGCGCCGAUACAUAGCCGACAGGGGAGGGUGGUCGGCCACCCUGGGACUGAGACACGGCCCAGACUCCUACGGGAGGCAGCAGUAGGGAAUCUUCGGCAAGGGACGAAAGUCUGACCGAGAAACGCCGAGUGAGUGAAGAAGGUUUUCGGAUCGUAAAGCUCUGUUGUAAGAGAAGAACGGGUGUGAGAGUGGAAAGUUCACACUGUGACGGUAUCUUACCAGAAAGGGACGGCUAACUACGUG
rnacentral:rRNA from 1 species